UAUAUUUUAGUAUAUUAUGUACAUGAAUUUUUGAUAUUCAAAGGGAUAGAUUGAUUCUAUUAAGUAUAA
rnacentral:tRNA from 2 species